UCCAAGCAUCGUGCUUUUUACGUUAGGCCCACAAAAAUGGCUAUUUAUGACACAUUUAAGAAAGAAACACGGCUAGAAAAAGUUGACAGGAUGCCUUAACAACUUGGCACUUCUGUCUUUUGAAAGAGAACUAACAGAUAAUUGAAAUUACGACGUGUUAUCAACAUCUUAAAUUCAAAACCCAGCCGACAACGACUUGUUUAGAACAGACAUCAACUAUACAAGAUGAGUUGGAAUUACCCUGGAUUCAUUUAUUAACUGAACAUGGGAUGGAGUUUAGCACACUAAAUGAUUGGAGAAGUCCUGCAUACAUCACCAGAGAGAGGAGAGUUGUUUCAUUUUAAUUAUACAUUACAAGGUCAAAAACUUUUUAACAAAGGAAACAUACGGGAGGCAUAUGGAUGAGUUGUUCACAAUGAGAUCCAUAACAUGCAUUUAAAAAAAAAAAAUUGUGUGAAUUUUCUUUUUAUUUCAACUUUAACAACCAAUAGAUAAAAUCAAGUCCAGUCUCAUGUUUAUUCUUGUUCGAUAAGCUGUUUCACUCACAAAGUAUGUUACACUAUGCAUGUAAAAAUGGAUGAUAACUUCUAUUUUAUGACAACUUCAAACUCGGGGUUAGUUGUAAUAAAAUGCAUUAAACAUCACUGAAAUAGGUUUAAAAUUUGUCUAAGAAAAUAAAUUCUUUGACAGAUCUCCAUUGAUUUUUAUAUAAGAUCUACACUGAUUUUAUGCACAACUGCUGCUUCACCUGAUUUCUUUUGGAUCGGUGAGGAAAAGUUCUAUGGAUGCUGCAUAUGAAAAAUCCAAAAGGCAUGGUAAUCAUCUCACUAAUGGUAAUAGAGCUGGACAGAAUGGGAGGAUUCUUGUCUUUAGCGGCAAGAGAGGGCAGUAGUGAUCUGUGCUGAGUGAUCUGCUGAAGACUGAUGAAUCUCCUUUACAUGAUUAAGUUACACAAUUUAAAUUUGCAAGCAAUAUUCAUCAACAAACAUGACAUUCUCAUAAUAGCUGGUGAGACAUAAUCAAAUAAUUGCUAAAGGAAACUAUUAGCAAUUUUUUUCUGAUAUGUGACAGCUUAAAAGGUUUGGUCAGAUCAGAUUGUGUUAUCAGCUGUUAUUUGCACAAGAUUUUACUGUGUGUCCGGCCAUUUCAUCGGAGAGCAUCCUUCAUAAAACCAUUGUUACGUAAAUUGUUGUAUUACAUUCAGUGCAAGGAUGGUUUUGCGAAAGAUUGUGUGAACAACUCAGUUGAUGAGGAAUAAAAAAUCUUGGUUUUAUACACCACACUGUCAAUAUCACAAAUGAAUGCUCCUUUUUACUUGCGUACAUAGGUAAGUGCUAUGUGAAAGUGGAUAAAGACCUUGGCUUGCUAUGUCAGCCAGUAAUGGAUUGACUCAGUUAGCGGAUGAUGCUUCAGAUGUCUUAUUAAUCUCUAUUGGCUUUAGCAUCUGAGCUCAGUAAGCCAGAAUCCAUUAGGGUUUGGAAAACAGGGCAUCUAUCCAUGAUUUAACAGUCAUGGCCAUCACACAUUUUCUCACAACACAUCUAUAUAUGUCUAGUUAAGAAAGCCUGCAACCACAGCUUGUUUGACGAAGUGGAAAUUUAGUUGCACACAGUCAUUGUGCAGUUAU